UACGUAGGGUGCGAGCGUUGUCCGGAAUUAUUGGGCGUAAAGAGCUCGUAGGCGGUUUGUCGCGUCGACUGUGAAAACCCGAGGCUUAACCCCGGGCCUGCAGUCGAUACGGGCAGACUAGAGUUCGGUAGGGGAGACUGGAAUUCCUGGUGUAGCGGUGAAAUGCGCAGAUAUCAGGAAGAACACCCGUGGCUAAGGCGGCUCUCUAGUACGGUACUGACGCUGAGACGCGAAAGCGUGGGGAGCGAACAGG
rnacentral:rRNA from 1 species